rnacentral:lncRNA from 1 species
UCUGAAUGAAUAUUUGAAAGAUAUAGUAAAAUACAAAGAAAAUAAAAUUCAAGCAUGAAUCCCACAUACAUGUAUUGCAGUGUAUAGUUCACAUAAAAACAAAAAACACAAAACAAUCCUCUGACAGAUUGUAUUUUCCCAAAAUGGCACAGCAAUAUUUCUGUUCUUACAUUCUCCUCUAGAACCUUGCCACUUCCCAUCUGGAGAUAGAAUCUCUUUCCCCUUUAUUUGAACAUAGGUGGGACUUGUGACUCCUCAACCAAUAGGAAAUAGUGGAAUGGAUGCAGUGUGCCUUCUGAGGUUGGGUCAUACAUGGUGACAUAGUUCCUUCUGGCUGCCUCUCAGGAUGUUCACCCUUGCAUUCAGCCACCAUGUGGAGAAGAAGCUCCAAGAGACCAUGGGGAGAAGCCUCUUGGAGAGGCCUGCCUGGAGGAGAAUUAAGAUCCCCAAUCAGUGUAAGCCACCAAAAGUAUGCAAGGACAAAUAUGGUAUGGCCUCUGAUCUUCAAGAAUUUCCUUGAAUGUGGAAAUAAGAAUCGUUGUAAUCACUCUGAUAGUGGUCUAUAGAAGAAACCCUGAUAACCUUACAAGAGACCUAGGACUCCAGAAAGGGUUAUGAAAGGACGUGACAGUUCUGGUAAAUAUAAAUAAAUGUCUAUGUGAAUAAGGGAGAAAGAAAUGU